rnacentral:pre_miRNA from 1 species
UGAUGAUGAUAGUGAUGGUGAUGAUGAUGACGACGAUGGCGAUAAUGAUGCUGAUGUUGAUCGUCAGCGUCGUCGUCAUAAUCAUCAUCACCAUCA